rnacentral:lncRNA from 1 species
AUGUGGCCACUCCUUAAAUGAAGUUUGGUCAUACACUUGUUUGAACAAUAAGGCCAUAUUAAGCUAACGUAUCCAGUUAACUACGUAGAAUCGAAUGUGAUCAAUCAUCGAGCAGGUGAUUUGGUUUCUGCUGGCAAGCAGCGUAUCAGGCUGUAAAAGACAAUAGUAAAUAGUUACUACUAACCAAUGCAACUUAUGAGAUGGAUAACUAGUUGUGUCAUUCACUCGAUGUGUGAAUUCGUUUUUCUUUACUGGCAUAAUUAUUUGCAGUACAUGAUGAAAACUUUAAAAGGAAACAUGAUUUCCUACCUCUCGUGUGCCAUCCAUCUUUUCUCCUUUAAUGAAUGAGGCUUUCAUUAUGCUCAUCCCCAAGUUGAUGUCUACAAUUUCUGCUUCAUUGUAUGAUCCUCCACGUUCUCAUUAAUCUCCAGAAGUUUACAGUUGCAAUCUAGCACAUAUUUUGAGUGUACUAUCGCGUGAAUUUUUCUCUAAGUGGCAGACACAUGUAUAGGCAAUGGAAGAAGAAUAUAAUCAGACUUUAAGCCACAUGGGGAUGGACCAUUAUCACAUACCUAGGGAACUAGCUCUCCCAGGAGGUGACGUGGCUUUAGUGUCA